ensembl:lncRNA
GUGGGCAGAGGUGUGUGUGUGUGAUUAGGGUGGGUGUGUGUGUGUGUGUGUGUGUGUGUGAUUAGGGCAGAGGUGUGUGUGUGUGUGUGUGUGAUUAGGGCAAAGGUGUGGUGUGUGUGUGUGUGUGUGUGUGUGAUUAGGGUGUGUGUGUGUGAUUAGGGUGUGUGUGUGAUUAGGGUGUGUGUGUGUGUGUGUGUGUGUGAUUAGGGCAGAGGUGUGUGUGUGUGUGUGUGAUUAGGGCAGAGGUGUGUGUGUGUGUGUGUGUGUGUGUGUGUGUGUGUGUGUGUGUGUGUGAUUAGGGCAGAGGUGUGUGUGUGUGAUUAGGGCAGAGGUGUGUGUGUGUGUGUGUGUGUGAUUAGGGCAGAGGUGUGUGUGUGUGUGUGUGUGGCAGAGGUGUGUGUGUGUGUGUGUGUGUGUGUGUGUGUGUGUGUGUGUG